UCCGCAGUGGCUCAGAUGUUUAAGAAUCUGCCUGAAAUGCAGGAGACCCAGGUUCGAUCCCUGGAUCAGGAA
rnacentral:tRNA from 1 species